rnacentral:rRNA from 1 species
CAAAAUGGAGAGUUUGAUCCUGGCUCAGGAUGAACGCUGGCGGUAUGCUUAACACAUGCAAGUCGAACGGAAUCUUUAGGGAUUUAGUGGCGGACGGGUGAGUAACGCGUAAGAAUCUACCUUCAGGUUGGGGACAACCACUGGAAACGGUGGCUAAUACCGAAUGUGCCGAGAGGUGAAAGGCUUGCUGCCUGAAGAAGAGCUUGCGUCUGAUUAGCU